rnacentral:lncRNA from 1 species
GUAAUUUUCUCUCUCACUGCUUAUAAUAGGCCUCUGUUCUAUACUGUUCAGCUCGUGUAAAGGGUAAAAGAUCUACACUUGAAUCGUGGCUGAUAAUGGGAGUGAAAAAUUUGCUGUGAACGGGUUCUAUAUCUGGAUCCUGCUCGUUGUUACGACUUACGCGUCUCGUGUUUUCGCGCUCGUUGUCCGGGGAUCCAUAUACCUAGAACGGUUAUUUUUCAGAAAAAAAAUACAUAUAUGUAUGUAGAUACUAUUAUAUAGCAAAUUAGCAAUACAUAAAAUGCAGUGUACUCAUUUUUCUAUAUAUUACUAGUAUAUAUCCGAUGAAAUGGUAAAAAAACUGUACCUAGUAUCAAUAGUACGAGAAUUUACUCAUCAUUUCUUUACAAAGAUUUAAUAUGGCAAAAUAAGGAGCCUUCGGUUUGGGAUUUUUGUUUUGAUUUUUCUUUCUUUUUUUCGUAUAAUAAUAAGAAGGGGUAUACA